GACGAACGCUGGCGGCGUGCCUAAUACAUGCGAGUCGAACGCUGAAGAGAGGAGCUUGCUCUUCUUGGAUGAGUUGCGAACGGGUGAGUAACGCGUAGGUAACCUGCCUUGUAGCGGGGGAUAACUAUUGGAAACGAUAGCUAAUACCGCAUAACAAUGGAUGACACAUGUCAUUUAUUUGAAAGGGGCAAUUGCUCCACUACAAGAUGGACCUGCGUUGUAUUAGCUAGUAGGUGAGGUAAUGGCUCACCUAGGCGACGAUACAUAGCCGACCUGAGAGGGUGAUCGGCCACACUGGGACUGAGACACGGCCCAGACUCCUACGGGAGGCGGCAGUAGGGAAGCUUCGGCAAGGGGGGCAACCCUGACCGAGCAACGCCGCGUGAGUGAAGAAGGGUGUCGGAUCGUAAAGCUCUGUUGUAAGUCAAGAACGGGUGUGAGAGUGGAAAGUUCACACUGUGACGGUAGCUUACCAGAAAGGGACGGCUAACUACGUG
rnacentral:rRNA from 1 species